rnacentral:rRNA from 1 species
AUUGAACGCUGGCGGCAGGCUUUACACAUGCAAGUCGAACGAGUGGCGGACGGGUGAGUAAUGUCUGGGAAACUGCCUGGUGGCGGGGGAUAACUACUGGAGAUGGUUGCUAAUACCGCAUAACAUCAGAUGUGCCCAGAUUGGAUUAGCUAGUUGGUGGGGUAACGGCUCACCAAGGCGACGAUCCCUAGCUGGUUUGAGAGGAAGACCAGCAACACUGGGACUGAGACACGGUCCAGAAUCCUACGGGAGGCAGCAGUGGGGAAUAUUGGACAAUGGGGGCAAGCCUGAUCCAGCCAUGCCGCGUGUAUGAUGAAGGCCUUCGGGUUUUAAAGUACUUUCAGCGGGGAGGCGUUACCCGCAGAAGAAGCACCGGCUAACUCCGUGCCAGCAGCCGCGGUAAUAC